ACACAGAUAGCUCAGUCGGUAGAGCAUGGGGCAGUUAAUCACAGGGUUGUGGGUUUGAGCCCCAUGUUGGGUG